UGGCCCGGGGAUGGGGAACCGCGGUGGCUUCCGCGGAGGUUUCGGCAGUGGCAUCCGGGGCCGGGGUCGCGGCCGUGGACGGGGCCGGGGCCGAGGCCGCGGAGCUCGCGGAGGCAAGGCCGAGGAUAAAGAGUGGAUGCCCGUCACCAAGUUGGGCCGGUUGGUCAAGGACAUGAAGAUCAAGUCCCUGGAAGAGAUCUAUCUCUUCUCCCUGCCCAUUAAGGAAUCAGAGAUCAUUGAUUUCUUCCUGGGGGCCUCUCUCAAGGAUGAGGUUUUGAAGAUUAUGCCAGUGCAGAAGCAGACCCGUGCCGGCCAGCGCACCAGGUUCAAGGUACCCGGCUGUCCUGGAGCGGGCUGCGCUGGGCUUGCUGGGACUCUCUCGGCUCUGCAUAGUUGCACUUGGCUUCACCCGUGUGACUUUCGUAACGGGGAGAGAGAGAAAAGAUCUCCUCAGGACCUCGGAUGGGCCUUACUGUGGCCUCUCUUUCCUUGAGGGGCGCAACAGGCCCUGGGCGGUGGGCAGUGAUUGGGUGUAGGGCCACCAGCUGCCUCACACACAUCUCUUCGCAGGCAUUUGUUGCUAUCGGGGACUACAAUGGCCACGUCGGUCUGGGUGUUAAGUGCUCCAAGGAGGUGGCCACCGCCAUCCGUGGGGCCAUCAUCCUGGCCAAGCUCUCCAUCGUCCCCGUGCGCAGAGGCUACUGGGGGAACAAGAUCGGCAAGCCCCACACUGUCCCUUGCAAGGUAGGCUGGUGGCAGGUGAUGGGCCUGCGGUGGGGCAGGCUCCCUCGGGCCCCCGUCUCCUGACUCCUUCCCUCACCAGGUGACAGGCCGCUGCGGCUCUGUGCUGGUACGCCUCAUCCCUGCACCCAGGGGCACUGGCAUCGUCUCCGCACCUGUGCCUAAGAAGCUGCUCAUGAUGGCUGGUAUCGAUGACUGCUACACCUCAGCCCGGGGCUGCACUGCCACCUUGGGCAACUUCGCCAAGGCCACCUUUGAUGCCAUUUCUAAGACCUACAGCUACCUGACCCCCGACCUCUGGAAGGAGACUGUAUUUACCAAGUCUCCCUAUCAGGAAUUCACUGACCACCUCGUCAAGACCCACACCAGAGUCUCCGUGCAGCGGACUCAGGCUCCAGCUGUGGCUACAACAUAGGGUUUUUAUACAAGAAAAAUAAAGUGAAUUAAGCGUG
rnacentral:sRNA from 1 species